rnacentral:lncRNA from 1 species
CCUGAACUAGUUAGGUGUUUCCAAAAAAGAUUUAGUAUUCCUCGUGUAAAAAUGUAAAUACAGAGAAAAGCAGCAGAGCUCUUUCUCCAGGUUUUCUAGCAGGGCCAGGCUGGAGAAAGGUAGGAGUUAGGCAAACCAGCAGCAGAGCUAAGUGCCUACAUGUAUGAUGGCAAUAGGGUGGGAGGACGCUUCCACUCCUGUCUUCACCCCAGUCCUGCGCACUGAGCAGAAAAGCCCUUGACUCUUCUCUGGUGCCUCGUCAAAAUGCCUCAGGGGCUUGAAGGUGGCCAGCAGCAGUGACGGGCCAUGGGGUCGCCCUUGCAGACAAGGUUUGACCUGCCAGUCACCGUCUGAAGGGCCUUGUCUGCUAUUAAUAUUUCCCUGAGAAUGAACAGCAAAUCUCCGAAAAGGGACUCCACCUCUUGUGUAAGUAAAUGCCACGAUUAGGACUUGGAUUUACUAAAAAAUCAGUGCAGUAACUUUACAUGUAGAUAGCGCGGAUAUUCAGUUUACUUCUAGUGACCUACUACAGUAUGUCCAGUAAGAUUUGUAUAAAUGUAAAUUAGUGUAAGUGAAUAAAGUAAUACCUACUUACGUUAUUUUCCAAACAGAUUGCAAUAUGCCUUCUUUUGUUUAGACUUCAGUCCAUGUUAAUUUUGUAUAUAUACCAUGUCUUACUCUAAAUUGCACCUUUCGUGAUGUGUAUUUAUAUACAGUGUGCAAAAACACUUGUGAAAUUUAGAUGACAGUUGUAAUUAUGUAUGAUGGCAUUGCUUGAGAAUAUUUUGCUUGUAAAGACUUUAAAGGUGCAAUCAAAUGCUCUUAGUUCUUCUAUUUUGUUUUGAACAAGCUUUCUCAAAUACUAAGCUUGGAUUCCUCUCUCCCUUCUCCCUGAUGUAGAAUGUGUGAAUUGGGUUUUGUACUUCCUUAGCCAUUUGCAUCAAACUGCUGGACAAGAUUUACAGUCAAGUUCAUCCAGUUACAUAAAAAUAAUUGGGAAUGGGGCAAAGGGUUCAUUUUCUAGUUCUGUUUACAUCUGAAAGUAGACAAAUUAAAUUUAUAUUUACUAGACCUAUUCAAAGAAUACACUUUUCUAUAUUGUACAAAUAAAACAGUCCGAUAAAUCACAAAGAAAAAAAUAAACCUUUAUACUAUUC